UGAUGGACCGCAAGGUUGUCACGUCGCACCAUUAAAAAGGUCAACUUCCGCACUAUUUAAAAAUCCCGUUGUACAACUAAAUUUUGUGUUUUUAAAUUUUUGAAUUUUUAUUUCCGCAUAGGAUAUAACCUUCGCACCUGAUGGAUUUGUAAAAAUCCGGCUUCACAAUGAAAAUCACGUUAAAACGCACUUUGCGAAUUCACGGUGCACGUCGAAAUAGGAGAGCGACUGUUCCUUUUGAACACCGCGCAUCAACUACUGGAUGUUCCCCUCAUUUCGUCAUUUGACUACUGGGUUUCCUCCUCCCCUUCCAGGAGGAUGGAAUUGGUUUUGCCAUAGAAGAAAAAAAGAAAAAGAAUUCUGUUGAAAUCAACCUUUUCCGUGGGAACCUGUCAUCCGAAUACAGCCUAGAAACCCAGUGUGGCGCAAGCAUAAUUCAUCCGCUGAACCGUGUGCCUCAAUCAUGUUGCCGUCGCGCUAUGAUUGAAUAUUCAUCAAGUGUGACGGACAACAACAAUCGUUGUUUUUAAUAUGUGCGCGUCACGAAAGAAAAUGCUGAAAGAGCAGGAGUAGGUGGGAGAAGAGUAGCUGUGCGUGUAACUAUGUACACACAUCCAUUAUGAUCUGAACAACUGAGGACCAUUUAUCUCGGCUCCAUUUAACUUUGCGUGGCUGCUUGCGCAAUGGAAAGAAAAACCCUGCGUGACGCGUGUAAGCUGUUUCUUCCCGUCAGAAUUGCGUGGACUAAAAAUAGGAAAGAAACAAAACCGGACUCGCUCCAUCAACACGGAUGGCUUCAUUCCCACUGCCACCCAGGGUUUAGAGGAGGAGUUUGUAAUCACCUGGUAGUUAAUAGGAUCACUGCCGGUCAUUUCGUGUCUCGCAUGGGAAAUUGACGCGUCCCAACCGGAUCCAGCCGCUAUGUUGAUGCACCGACGGUAGCACUCUUUCCGGCUUUGGUUCUAUAGAUACAAACUCUUCGUGAUAACGGCAUUGUUUGAACGACCGAGAUUUCCCAAUUCACUUUGUCUCGGGUAAUUUGCUUUUAGCUUUUCCAACACAUCUCAUCCUUAUCACUUUAAAGUUUAAAGAGAAUCAUGUUUCAGGGGCUGUGUCUUCAUGAAUCCCGAGCUAUUCUAUCUGAGUAGCUAUUUCAGCGGAUCAAUCGACAGUGUUUUUUAUCGAUUUCAUGCGGUUUGUGAAGCCUCGCCCGAAUGGGGUUAUUGAAGAAGAUUUUCUGUCAAACUGCAGUCUGUUUUGUAAUAGUAAUUAACGUGGAAGUUCAGACCAUAUAGUGUCAACACCGCAUACCGUAACAGCUGGAAUUUGUGAGGAAACAAAGGUAAAGUUUUACGACAUUGUAAUUGAUGUCUGUACAGUUGCAUUAGUAUGUUCUACGUG